CUUUAAUUUCAAUCUUCCAUGGCUAAUACCCCCCCCCCCUGAUACUAUCCAUAGUUUCAUCAAAAUAAGCAACCAACACAACAAAAACAGAAUCUGUUAACAGCAGACCAGUCUGUAGCAAUCUGUAUGUUUCAUAUACCUCUCGUACUUCAAAAAUUCGGAAAAAUUAUGCCAGUCUGAAGAAUUUGCGUAGCAAUCAGCAGCAAAGAGAAUCAACUAAAAAUCUCCUACAAAAAAAAUGAAAA
rnacentral:lncRNA from 1 species